UACGAAGGGGGCUAGCGUUGUUCGGAAUCACUGGGCGUAAAGCGCACGUAGGCGGCUUGUUAAGUCGGGGGUGAAAUCCUGAGGCUCAACCUCAGAACUGCCUCCGAUACUGGCAAUCUCGAGUUCGGAAGAGGUUGGUGGAACAGCUAGUGUAGAGGUGAAAUUCGUAGAUAUUCGGAAGAACACCAGUGGCGAAGGCGGCUCACUGGACCGGCAUUGACGCUGAGGUGCGAAAGCGUGGGGAGCAAACAGG
rnacentral:rRNA from 1 species